CGGGCGGUCCACUCCCAGGUGGCGUCCUCGCGGAUCAGGGCGGACUCGCCGAGGUAGGCGCCGUCGGCGAGGACGCCGAGGACGGCCUCGUCGCCGUAGGGCCCCUCGCCGAUCUGCUCGAUCCGGCCGUGGGCGAGGAGGUACACCCGGUCCGUGGGGGCGCCCGCGACGGCGAUGACCUCGCCCGCCGCGUAGUCCCGCUGGGUGCAGCGGGACGCCAGCUCGGACAGCGCGCCCUCGUCCUCGUAACCGCGCAGGGCGGGGAGUUCGCCGAGUUCGGCGGGGAUCACCGCGACGCGCUCGCCCGUCUGGACGAAGGUGACGCGCCCGUCCCCCACGGAGUAGCUGAGCCUCCGGUUCACCCGGUACGUGCCGCCCUGCACCUGGACCCACGGCAGCGUCCGCAGCAGCCACCGGGAGGUGAUCUCCUGCAUCUGCGGGGCCGACUUGGUGGUCGUGGCGAGGUUCCGCGCGGCGGCGGUGCCGAGACUCUGCUGCGGCGCCUGCUG
rfam:Streptomyces sp. NRRL F-6491 P443contig25.1, whole genome shotgun sequence.